GAUGAACGCUAGCGAUAGGCCUAACACAUGCAAGUCGAGGGGCAUCACAUGAAGUAGCAAUACGGAUGGUGGCGACCGGCGCACGGGUGAGUAACACGUAUGCAACCUGCCUUCAACAAGGGGAUAACCCGUUGAAAGACGGACUAAUACCCUAUAACACAGGGGUCCCGCAUGGGGAUAUUUGUUAAAGGACAACCGGUUGAAGAUGGGCAUGCGUUCCAUUAGCUAGUUGGCGGGGUAAGGGCCCACCAAGGCAACGAUGGAUAGGGGAACUGAGAGGUUUAUCCCCCACACUGGUACUGAGACACGGACCAGACUCCUACGGGAGGCAGCAGUGAGGAAUAUUGGUCAAUGGACGCAAGUCUGAACCAGCCACGUCGCGUGAAGGAAGACGGCCCUACGGGUUGUAAACUUCUUUUAACGGGAAUAAAGUGCCCCACGCGUGGGGUUUUGCAUGUACCGUAUGAAUAGGAUCGGCUAACUCCGCG
rnacentral:rRNA from 1 species